rnacentral:rRNA from 1 species
CAGCCGCCGCGGUAAUACCAGCCCCGCGAGUGGUCGGGACGGUUAUUGGGCCUAAAGCGCCCGUAGCCGGCCCGGCAAGUCCCUCCUUAAAGCCUCGGGCCCAACCCGAGGACGGGGGGGAUACUGCCGGGCUAGGGGGCGGGAGAGGCCGGCGGUACUCCCGGGGUAGGGGCGAAAUCCGUUAAUCCCGGGAGGACCACCAGUGGCGAAGGCGGCCGGCUGGAACGCGCCCGACGGUGAGGGGCGAAAGCCGGGGGAGCGAACCGGAUUAGAUACCCGGGUAGUCCCGGCGGUAAACGAUGCGGGCUAGCUGUUGGGCGGGCUUAGAGCCCGCCCAGUGGCGCAGGGAAGCCGUUAAGUCCGCCGCCUGGGGAGUACGGCCGCAAGGCUGAAACUUAAAGGAAUUGGCGGG